GACGAACGCUGGCGGCGUGCCUAAUACAUGCAAGUCGAGCGCUGAAGGAUGGUACUUGUACUAACUGGAUGAGCAGCGAACGGGUGAGUAACGCGUGGGGAAUCUGCUUUUGAGCGGGGGACAACAUCUGGAAACGAAUGCUAAUACCGCAUAAUAACUUUAAACACAAGAUUUAAGUUUGAAAGAUGCAAUUGCAUCACUCAAAGAUGAUUCCGCGUUGUAUUAGCUAGCUGGUGAGGUAAAGGCUCAACAAGGCGAUGAUACAUAGCCGAGCUGGGAGGGUGAUUCGGCAAAUUGGGAAUGGGACACGGCCCCAGCUCCUACGGGAGGGCGCAGUAGGGGAUCUUCGGCAAUGGACGAAAGUCUUGCCCAGCAACGCCGCGUGAGUGAAGAAGGUUUUCCGAUUGUAAAACUCUGUUGGUAGAGAAGGACAUUGGUGAGGGUGGAAAGCUCAUCAAGUGACGGUACCUACCCAGAAAGCAACGGCUAACUACGUG
rnacentral:rRNA from 1 species